GGAGCAGGUGGCUGUUAGAGUGUCAAAAUUGUAUUUGGAAUCCAAGAACUGGGCUGAGAAGAUUGGUAUGCCAAUUGAUUUCUCUGUUUCUUUGGCGCCUCGAUGAAGAAAUAUAGUUAAGCAGAAAAAUGGCAGAUCUACAGGUGUCUCUGGUUUUGUUUAUUAUUUCUUGUGAAGUUUUGAGUUUCCCUUGGAUAUUUUUCCC
rnacentral:misc_RNA from 1 species